rnacentral:lncRNA from 10 species
CGUCAGUGACUGUCUAGGGGGCUUCCGAGGUGAUCCGGCAGUGUCAGUCUUCAGCCGCUAAGCCGAGAAGAUCUGGGAAGGAGUCAGUCAGAGAGGCUUGGGCCAGAGUUCCAGGGGCUCUGGGAGUGGCUGCCAGGUCUGACCCUUGGGAAGAAUCCAGCACGAGAAAGCAACCCCAAAGAAAUACUCGCAGUUCAGUGCUGAUGUGGCCGAGGCCAUUGCCUUCUUUGACUCCAUCAUUGCAGAGCUGGAUACAGAGAGACGACCCCGGGCUGCUGAGGCCAGCCUGCCAAAUGAAGAUGUGGACUUUGACGUGGCCACCAGCUCCAGGGAGCACAGCUUGCAUUCUAACUGGAUCCUGCGGGCACCGCGCAGACACUCCGAGGAUAUCGCUGCCCACACUGUGCAUACUGUAGACGGCCAGUUUCGAAGGAGCACCGAGCACAGGACCGUGGGCACUCAGAGGAGACUCGAGAGGCACCCCAUUUAUUUGCCCAAGGCUGUGGAAGGGGCCUUCAACACCUGGAAAUUUAAGCCCAAAGCCUGCAAAAAAGACCUGGGGAGCUCCAGACAGAUCCUUUUCAACUUCUCAGGAGAAGAUAUGGAGUGGGAUGCAGAGCUCUUUGCGUUGGAGCCCCAGUUGUCUCCUGGGGAGGACUACUAUGAGACAGAGAACCCCAAAGGACAGUGGCUGCUUCGAGAAAGACUUUGGGAGCGGACGGUGCCCUGACUCCAUCUGGAUUCCUUGACGUGUCUCAGACUGGGUCCCUGAGAAGCUGUCCGCUUUCAGCGCAGCAUGA